ensembl:lncRNA
CAGAGAGUGUUGCUUACAGUUGACGAGGGCCAGAUUGUUGGUCACAGUGAAGUGACAGGGAAGGAUGUUAUGAGAUGUACGCUGUCAUCGUGUGACGAGCAUGUGUUGAGUGAUGUCUAGGCAGAGCAGAGCAGUCAAUGUCUCGUUCUGUUUGGCAUACCGUGUAUCGUCUCAUUUACGCUGAUUGUUGUGCACUGUAAAGGGAUACUAGGGGAGCUUCAGUUUCACAACUUUCAAGAUGAACGUUUACUGGAUACCCACAAUCCUCCUCUCCCUCUGCCUCUCCAGUGCUGCCAACAUGAUAAGCUCCCACAACUGUAAAGUAUCAACAAAUGUCACAUCAGGCAGGAUCCAUAGCACUACCAGAACAUUCUGAUAACUGGAACAAAAGCCAAAGGUGGACCAAUCAAAGGGUUGCAGAUCAUUCAAGAUUGUAAUGCGUGCAAAGCUGCAUGGUUUUUCAGGACUUUGCAGAAAUGAAUGGGCUGGGGUGACAGGGAUGAAACUAAGUGACUCACGUUUUCUAUUCCACACCGUUCUGUGACUGUAUCUCUCCACCACUUUAUGAUAUCUCUUUCUUUCUCUGAACAUGUUCAAUGUGUGGGUUAAAAUACUGUGAAAUUACAAAUCAUGAAAUAUGAAUAAUCCAGAUUUGGGGCUAGGUAAAAUAUAGUGUACUGCAGGAUUCAGCCUCAGAAGCUAUUUCCUUUGUGUGUGUUUUUUACAUUUCCUACACAAGUCACAAGAAUGUCCUGACAACAUAGGAAAACCAGAUAAUGUCCUGAAUUUGUUAAAAUUCUAUUUUAGGCUUACGGAGUUAGGGUAAAUUGGAUUUUGAAUGGGAAUACAUUAAAAAAAGCUGUGUGUGCAUGUGUGCACAUGAUCAAAGUGAAAAGCAAUCUGAAUCUUUUGAAUCCCCUUGAGAUUGCUGCCUGUUGCUUCAUUGUUUGCUAGAGAUGUCAAGGUUUUUUACAUUCGGUUGUGAAUUCAACAUGAAAUCCCCCCCAAAAGUUAGGUUGAAAAAAAAAACGAAAUGCUCUUAUGAUCAGCAACACAUUGCUCAGCAACACAUUCAACGUCAUCACUGUGUAAGGGCUAUUAUACGAGCUAUUUGACCAUGAAGGAGAGUGAUGGAGUGCUGCAUCAGAUGACCUGGCCUCCACAAUCACCUGACCCCAACCCAAUUGAGAUGGCUUGGGAUGAGUUGGACCUCAGAGUGAAGGAAAAGCAGCUAACAAGUGCUCAGCAUAUGUGAGAACUCCUUCAAGUCUGUUGGUAAAGCAUUCCUCAUGAAGCUGGUUGAGAGAAUGCUAAGAAUGUUCAAAGCUGUCAUCAAGUCAAAGGGUGGUUACUUUGUUUAACACUUUUUUGGUUACUACAUGAUACUCUAUGUGUUAUUUCAUAGUUUUGAUGUCUUCACUAUUAUUGUACAAUGUAGAAAAUUGUAAAAAUAAAGAAAAACCCUUGAAUGAGUGUCCCGAUGUGUCCAGACUUUUGAUUGGUACUGUAUAUAAAACGACGAGUUGAUAUAUCAAAUGACGGAAGAUUCAACAU